rnacentral:rRNA from 1 species
AGAUGGACUAGAGAAGCACGCAAUGGAAGCAUACAAGAUAGACAAGGAAGGAAUGUGGUAGAGAAUCCAAAGUUUGAAGCCCAACUUUGGUACAAGGGUGUGUCUCACAAGUUUCACACUAUGGCACAUAAAGUAGCCAACUCUCUAGAGUGUCAUCUGAUAUUAGAAAAUGCACUUGAUUGCGUUGGUCCACAACUAGAUGAGAAACUUGAUGCAACUAUGAAUGCUACGAAAAAGCCAUGUGAUGACCAAGAAAAUGUUGACCCAAAUGUGCAACUAACUAGUGAGUUUCUUAGUGCAGCAAAGCUCAAGAAAAAAGAGGUUGCAUCAAAAAAUUUGAGGAGAAAGAAAGGCUGGCUUGAUAAGUUACUCAAGGGGAAGCGCAAGCCAACUAAAGUUGCCUCGUCAAAAAAAAGGGAGCAAAGCAAAAGAAAAAUGAUGGUGGACAGCCUCAAGUGA